rnacentral:rRNA from 1 species
AACGAACGCUGGCGGCAGGCCUAACACAUGCAAGUCGAGCGCCCGGAUUUAUCCGGGAGCGGCGCACGGGUGAGUAACGCGUGGGAACAUGCCCUGAAGUACGGAAGAAGCUGGGGAAACCUUGGCUAAUACCGUAUACGCCCUGAGGGGGAAAGAUUUAUCGCUUUGGGAUUGGCCCGCGUUGGAUUAGCUGGUUGGUGUGGUAACGGCGCACCAAGGCGACGAUCCAUAAGUGGUCUGAGAGGAUGAGCAGUCACACUGGGACUGAGACACGGCCCAGACUCCUACGGUAGGCAGCAGUGGGGAAUAUUGGACAAUGGGCGAAAGCCUGAUCCAGCCAUGCCGCGUGAGUGAAGAAGGCCUUCGGGUUGUAAAGCUCUUUCAGCGGGGACGAUGAUGACGGUACCCGCAGAAGAAGCCCCGGCUAACUUCGUGCCAGCCGCCGCGGUAA